rnacentral:rRNA from 1 species
AACUAUAACGGUCCUAAGGUAGCGAAAUUCCUUGUCAGGUAAGUUCUGACCCGCAUGAAAGGCGUAAUGAUUUGGGCACUGUCUCAACAGCCCGCCCGGCGAAAUUGUAGUACCGGUGAAGAUGCCGGUUACCCGCGACAAGACGGAAAGACCCCAUGGAGCUUUACUGUAGCCUAAUAUUGGGUUUCGAUGUUGCAUGCACAGGAUAGAUGGGACACUGGGAAGCAGGUGCUUUGGCGCUUGUGGAGUGGCCGUUGGGAUACCAUCCUUGCGAUAUUGGAAUUCUAACCUGCGGCUCUGAAUCGAGUCGGGGGACAUUGUUAGGUGGGCAGUUUGACUGGGGCGGUCGCCUCCUAAAGAGUAACGGAGGCGUUCAAAGGUUCGCUCAGCUUGAACGGAAAUCAAGCAAAAGAGUGCAAACGCAGAAGCGAGCCUAACUGCGAGACUGACGGGUCGAGCAGUAACGAAAGUUGGAGUUAGUGAUCCGGUGGUAUGUGAGUGGAAAUGCCAUCGCUCAACGGAUAAAAGUUACCCUGGGGAUAACAGGCUGAUCUCCCCCAAGAGUCCACAUCGACGGGGAGGUUUGGCACCUCGAUGUCGGCUCAUCGCAUCCUGGGGCUGUAUUCGGUCCCAAGGGUUUGGCUGUUCGCCAAUUAAAGCGGUACGCGAGCUGGGUUCAGAACGUCGUGAGACAGUUCGGUCCCUAUCUGUCGUGGGCGCAGGAUAUUUGAUGGGAGCUGUCCCUAGUACGAGAGGACCGGGACGGACGUACCUCUGGCGCACCAGUUGUUCCGCCAGGAGCAUAGCUGGGCAACUACGUACGGAUCGGAUAAACGCUGAAAGCAUCUAAGCGUGAAGCCGACCCAAAGAUAAGAUAUCCCAUUGUUUCAAACAAGUAAGACCCCUUGAAGACUACAAGGUUGAUAGGCACGAUGUGUAAGUGGAGCGAUCCAUUCAGCAAGCGUGUACUAAUAGGUCGAGGGCUUGACCAC